GGGUGCUUAGCUCAGUUGGUAGAGCGGCGCCCUUACAAGGCGUAGGUCGGGAGUUCGAGGCUCUCAGCACCCA
rnacentral:tRNA from 1 species